rnacentral:rRNA from 1 species
CCAGACUCCUACGGGAGGCAGCAGUGGGGGAUAUUGCACAAUGGGGGAAACCCUGAUGCAGCGACGCCGCGUGAGUGAAGAAGUAUUUCGGUAUGUAAAGCUCUAUCAGCAGGGAAGAAAAAAGACGGUACCUGACUAAGAAGCCCCGGCUAACUCCGUGCCAGCAGCCGCGGUAAUACGGAGGAUGCGAGCGUUAUCCGGAUUUAUUGGGUUUAAAGGGUGCGUAGGCGGGUUAUCAAGUCAGCGGUAAAAUCGUGGAGCUCAACUCCAUCCAGCCGUUGAAACUGAUGAUCUUGAGUGGGCGAGAAGUAUGCGGAAUGCGUGGUGUAGCGGUGAAAUGCAUAGAUAUCACGCAGAACUCCGAUUGCGAAGGCAGCAUACCGGCGCCCGACUGACGCUGAAGCACGAAGGCGUGGGUAUCGAACAGGAUUAGAUACCCUAGUAGAU